rnacentral:rRNA from 1 species
GAUGAACGCUGGCGGCGUGCCUAAUACAUGCAAGUCGAGCGAACGGACGAGAAGCUUGCUUCUCUGAUGUUAGCGGCGGACGGGUGAGUAACACGUGGAUAACCUACCUAUAAGACUGGGAUAACUUCGGGAAACCGGAGCUAAUACCGGAUAAUAUUUUGAACCGCAUGGUUCAAAAGUGAAAGACGGUCUUGCUGUCACUUAUAGAUGGAUCCGCGCUGCAUUAGCUAGUUGGUAAGGUAACGGCUUACCAAGGCAACGAUGCAUAGCCGACCUGAGAGGGUGAUCGGCCACACUGGAACUGAGACACGGUCCAGACUCCUACGGGAGGCAGCAGUAGGGAAUCUUCCGCAAUGGGCGAAAGCCUGACGGAGCAACGCCGCGUGAGUGGUGAGGGUCUUCGGAUCGUAAAACUCUGUUAUUAGGGAAGAACAUAUGUGUAAGUAACUGUGCACAUCUUGACGGUACCUAAUCAGAAAGCCACGGCUAACUACGUGCCAGCAGCCGCGGUAAUACGUAGGUGGCAAGCGUUAUCCGGAAUUAUUGGGCGUAAAGCGCGCGUAGGCGGUUUUUUAAGUCUGAUGUGAAAGCCCACGGCUCAACCGUGGAGGGUCAUUGGAAACUGGAAGACUUGAGUGCAGAAGAGGAAAGUGGAAUUCCAUGUGUAGCGGUGAAAUGCGCAGAGAUAUGGAGGAACACCAGUGGCGAAGGCGACUUUCUGGUCUGUAACUGACGCUGAUGUGCGAAAGCGUGGGGAUCAAACAGGAUUAGAUACCCUGGUAGUCCACGCCGUAAACGAUGAGUGCUAAGUGUUAGGGGGUUUCCGCCCCUUAGUGCUGCAGCUAACGCAUUAAGCACUCCGCCUGGGGAGUACGACCGCAAGGUUGAAACUCAAAGGAAUUGACGGGGACCCGCACAAGCGGUGGAGCAUGUGGUUUAAUUCGAAGCAACGCGAAGAACCUUACCAAAUCUUGACAUCCUUUGACAACUCUAGAGAUAGAGCUUUCCCCUUCGGGGGACAAAGUGACAGGUGGUGCAUGGUUGUCGUCAGCUCGUGUCGUGAGAUGUUGGGUUAAGUCCCGCAACGAGCGCAACCCUUAAGCUUAGUUGCCAUCAUUAAGUUGGGCACUCUAAGUUGACUGCCGGUGACAAACCGGAGGAAGGUGGGGAUGACGUCAAAUCAUCAUGCCCCUUAUGAUUUGGGCUACACACGUGCUACAAUGGACAAUACAAAGGGCAGCGAAACCGCGAGGUCAAGCAAAUCCCAUAAAGUUGUUCUCAGUUCGGAUUGUAGUCUGCAACUCGACUACAUGAAGCUGGAAUCGCUAGUAAUCGUAGAUCAGCAUGCUACGGUGAAUACGUUCCCGGGUCU